rnacentral:rRNA from 1 species
UACGGAGGGGGCAAGCGUUGUUCGGAAUUACUGGGCGUAAAGGGCGCGCAGGCGGCUGCUCAAGUCAGGCGUGAAAGGCCUGGGCUCAACCCGGGAAUUGCGCUUGAGACUGGGCUGGCUUGAGUGCGGGAGAGGAUGGUGGAAUUCCCAGUGUAGAGGUGAAAUUCGUAGAUAUUGGGAAGAACACCGGUGGCGAAGGCGGAUCUCUGGGCCUUACCUGACGCUCAGGUGCGAAAGCUAGGGGAGCGAACAGG